rnacentral:rRNA from 1 species
UACGAAGGGGGCUAGCGUUGUUCGGAAUUACUGGGCGUAAAGGCGCGUAGGCGGUUGCUCAAGUCAGGCGUGAAAGCCCCGGGCUCAACCUGGGAAUUGCGCUUGAGACUGGGCGGCUUGAGUUCGGGAGAGGUGAGUGGAAUUCCCAGUGUAGAGGUGAAAUUCGUAGAUAUUCGGAAGAACACCAGUGGCGAAGGCGGCUCACUGGCCCGGUACUGACGCUGAGGUGCGAAAGCGUGGGGAGCAAACAGG